rnacentral:lncRNA from 1 species
CUGGAUUUCAUACAACAGAACUUGUAUCAAGAUUAUGAAACAAUAAUAGAUAAUAACAUUUUAAUAUUUAAAUAGAGGCGACAACACAUAUUGUCACGUGAAAACAUUGAACGAAGUGUGUAUAAGUAGCUCUUAAAAACUUCAUAUCAUACUGCUGCAAUUGAGUAGAUAGAACCUUCUCCAGGAUGAGGAUGGAUGACAUCAGCACCAAAGAUAAUCGUAGGACGUUCGCGAAAAAGAGAAUGUGGAUGUAGACCCUGCACCUGAGGGUGUGGAGGAUGCUGAAGAACAUUUUGUCUGGCACCAGAAUCCUGGUGCUCUGAGUUCUCUCCCUCACCCGGAAGUUCAGUUAACCUCCUUUCUGCCCUGAUGAUAACUGUGUCCAGUGAAUACAUAUGGCAAAAUUAAAUUAUAGGGAUUACAAAAUGAUAAUGACAACAGUAAGACAAAGCACUAUUAGAUACAGCCAUACAGGUGAUAGCCGGCAAUAAUAUGAGAAAACACACGUAACUUGACAGAGCUUCCAAUAAAGUCAGCAAGCUAAUUAAAUACACAAAAACUAAAUAUUCUCCCUGCACGAGUAAUCAACUCUCAUUCAUAUGUAAGACAAGCAUAAGGAGCUUGCAACUCUAAUACGUAAACUGAACACCCAAACACACACAAGUUGUAUACACAAAAAGAUAGUUUUAAUAAUCAAACAUGUAUACAAUCCCUUGCACCAAUUUUAACACUAGAAUGUUUAAAACUUAACAGCUUCAAGAAUUAAAACAAUAAAUAGCAAUAAAUCAAGAUCAAAAUCAGAAAAUAUGUUUUACAUGCACUAACUUGACUAUCAAAAAUCCCUAACAUCAUAAUUUCAAACUUAUAUAUACAGAAAGAACAGCCAUAUAUGGAGUAUGGACAUUUAUUAAGACCCUCCUUAAAAUAUUAGUACACAAAAAACAAUGGCAAAAGAUACAUAUGUACAAUAAUAGAUAGAUAUAUGAGUAUUAAUGUGAGCCAUCAAAGUAAAGAAUUGGUUGUGCAAGUAGAUAUCCUAAACUUAAUACUUCCCUUCAACUUUAUAAAAAAAAAUAUGAAAAAAAUGGCCAAAUCGCAUUGAAGAGUAAAAAGAACAACAAAUUUAAAUUUUUAUAUAAUAAUUAAACGAAAACCUCAAAUCAAUACAGCUCUGAGCAAAUACACUAUAAAAAACAUACAAAUCAACUAGAUCUAGCUAAAAGAAAUACAAUCGGUAAAAAUUAACAAGAUACAACCGAAAACAAUGUAAAAUUUAUUUUAAAAAGGGAGCAUAACAGACCAGUAAUGUAAAUCUCAUAAAAUGAUUAAACUAAUACCUCAAAUCAAUACAGAUCUAAGCAAAUAAGCUGUGAUAAACCAAAAAAUCAACUAGCUCAUCCAACUAGACAUAUACAAUGGGUAAAAAUUAAUGAGAGUAACCGAAAACAACGUAAAAGCUGGUUAAAAAUUGGAGGAUGGGAAACCAGUAAAUGCACGUCGACCACUCGUUGAUGGAAAAAUACUAUAUCUACCAACCGCACUACAGAGCCGUACACCCGCCUAGUUAUUUUAUAACAUGUUUUAAUGUGUUUUUUAAUCAUAACUAAAACACAUUUAAACAUUCGUCUUAAAACAUAUCUCUCGGGCCUAUUUAUUUUUAAGUCUUUGAACGGGCCUAAUUAUCAAAAAUUAUUUAACAUGCCCAAUAAAAAUUCAUUAACCCGAAGAGGCCUAUUAUAAUUUAAUAAUCUUUUAGUUAAAAUAUGUAUAUUAUUCCAUAUAAAUGUAUCUUCAAAACAAAAUAAAAUAUUAUAACAUAUAUAACAAAAGAGAAAAUAAUUCAAGUCACCCGUGCAUCGUACGGGCUAUAAGCUAAUAUCUACGUGAAGUUGUAUUAUAUGUAGUACUAAUUAAAUUGUAGAGCCUCUAGAAUUAUCAACCACCAAAAUGGCUUGUUUGGGAACCUGGAUUUCAUUUGAUAUUUUGGAUUUGAUCAAAUAACCUGUUUGAGAAUUUGAAUUUGGAUUUCAUUUCACAUUCAAAUAUUAGUAUAAAUUUGAGAAAUUGAAAUUACAACUCAAAUCAUGUCAUUUGAAAUCCAUCGUUUCAAAUGAAAUGCAUGUUUCCAAACGGCCCCUAAGAUUAAUUAGAAAUGAGUGGCUUAGAUAUUAAAUAACUGAACGGCAAACUAGUAUAUAUUACUACAGUGGGACUGCUUGUGAUUAAAGUGAUGUUACAUGACAAAGUAGUUGGUUAAGUCUUGAUUUCGAGUAUAGCUUUGUGUAUUGCAAUUAAGCUUAUCAGAAUAGGUUGUCAGAAUAUGAUGAUGAUGGAUACUAGGCAGUAGAACGUAGUGUAUUUGUUUUGAGUAUAAUGAUAUUUGUGGGACUAGUUGUAGUAGAGAAUGUAAAGGACAAUGUCCCUAUGAAUGUAGCAAUACAGAAUCUUUGUAUACAACUCUAAGCACAUGGUACAGCACUAAAUUAGUCACAUGGCUAUGCUCAAAACUGGUACUUCAUUUUACAUAUGAAAUCAGUUGAUAUGGCAACUUAAAGCAUGCAACAGUUUUCAAAUAUUAGUGUACUACACACUAGAACAUAGAUUUAUCUAAAACAUUAGUGCCCAAUGGAAGGAUAGCCUACUAAAAGACUAGAAUUUGAACUGUCUAUAUUAAAAGAAACCACAGAGUUUG